UACUUAGAUCGCAUCACUCGGGAGCUGGUGCAGCUGCUGGAUGACCGCCACGAGCU
rnacentral:sRNA from 1 species